GCCCAAUGGUUAAAAAAAAAUUAAUAACUAUAAUUAAAAAAAAACUAAAUGGCUGCAGUAACUAUGACUGUAAUAAUGUAGCGCAAUCAAUUGUCACUUAAUUAGUGGAUAGUAUGAAUGGCUGAACGAAAAUCUCACUGUCUUGUGGUAUAAAUUUCAGAAAUUAAAAUAACAGUUAAGAUGCUGUUUAAAAUUGUAAGACGAAAAGACCCUAUAAAGCUUAACUAUAAAUCUUAAAUAUAAUUUAAGAAGAGGUAGUUUCAUUGGGGCGAUGGUUUUUAAAAAAAAACAAAAACAAAACAAAAAUAAUUUUCACCAAAAAAUUACUGUAUAACCCAUAAGUUUAACAGUUACAAAGUAGGUUAAAUAGGACCCAUUAACUCAAAGGAAUAAGUUAAUGAAUAAUAAAUAAAAGCUACUUUAGGGAUAACAGGAUAAUUUUAUCAAGAAGACCAAAUUCGAAAUAAAGUUUAUUACCUCGAUGUUGAAUUGAGAUAUCCCA
rnacentral:rRNA from 1 species